rnacentral:rRNA from 1 species
AACAACCCAGACCGCCAGCUAAGGUCCCAAAGUCAUGGUUAAGUGGGAAACGAUGUGGGAAGGCCCAGACAGCCAGGAUGUUGGCUUAGAAGCAGCCAUCAUUUAAAGAAAGCGUAAUAGCUCACUGGUCGAGUCGGCCUGCGCGGAAGAUGUAACGGGGCUAAACCAUGCACCGAAGCUGCGGCAGCGACACUCAGGUGUUGUUGGGUAGGGGAGCGUUCUGUAAGCCUGUGAAGGUGGCCUGUGAGGGUUGCUGGAGGUAUCAGAAGUGCGAAUGCUGACAUAAGUAACGAUAAAGCGGGUGAAAAGCCCGCUCGCCGGAAGACCAAGGGUUCCUGUCCAACGUUAAUCGGGGCAGGGUGAGUCGACCCCUAAGGCGAGGCCGAAAGGCGUAGUCGAUGGGAAACGGGUUAAUAUUCCCGUACUUGGUGUUACUGCGAAGGGGGGACGGAGAAGGCUAUGUUGGCCGGGCGACGGUUGUCCCGGUUUAAGCGUGUAGGUGUGUGUUCCAGGUAAAUCCGGUUCACUUUAACACUGAGGCGUGAUGACGAGGCACUACGGUGCUGAAGCAACAAAUGCCCUGCUUCCAGGAAAAGCCUCUAAGCAUCAGGUAACAUCAAAUCGUACCCCAAACCGACACAGGUGGUCAGGUAGAGAAUACCAAGGCGCUUGAGAGAACUCGGGUGAAGGAACUAGGCAAAAUGGUGCCGUAACUUCGGGAGAAGGCACGCUGACA